UAAAGAAAAUGUUCUGCUUCUUUUCUGUAAGGAACCCAGCACUCACAAGAAAACAGAAUUACUAUGAUUUUUUUGAGCAACAACAGAAACAUGGGUAUUCAGAAGCUAUAAACUACCACUCUGCGUUACUAGUAGAGUUUUGGCAUUCACAUUCCACCAGUAUGUUUCAGUGCCUGUGUCAUCAUUGGAGACCAUUCUCAUUUUUUGCCUCUUCCCCAUGUCCUUAUUUCUCCAAAAUGUUCAAAGAGAAAGGUGUGUGAACAUUACAGUUGGAAUAUUAGGAUACUCAGAGCCAUUUCGUUGUCUAAAUCAUCUGUGUCUUCAUGUUUGACAUUGAGGCAUUAGACUAUUUGACAAGUUAGAAAGCAGGCAGGAAUUGUAAAAUGGCAGCUCCUGAAACUGAAGUAGUUACUCAUCGUUGCCCCAAGAGAACCCAGACUGUUCUUAUAUGGUCAUAAAACUAACGCAGCAAGAAUUCUACUCCCCACCCUCCACAACUCUAUUGCCCUCAGAUGGAGUGGGGUGAAACUGCGUUUUCUAAGUUUCAGAAAAGUUUCCUUUGGCACAGUAAGAUAGUGGGAGUACACAGGUGGCUUGUUCUCUUUCUCCUUUGUUUUUAACUUAGCUUGCAAAGAAAGUUCACACUAUGUAAAGAUUUUCACAGUUAUGUACUAACAAAUCUGGAGGAUUUGUUGCACUUAUGCAAGGAAGUCAGAUUUGAAAAUAAAACUGUUUUUCUGUUUGUGGGCACAGGGAUGAACAUAUGGCCAACACCUGGAAUUUAUAGAAGCCUUACCCAAUAAAACCUCCUGAGACAUUCCAAGAAUGACAACACAGUGAUGGUGUGGAACAGAACUGCCAAAGGAGCAGUGACAUGGGUUCAAGAUGGCCAGGACGCUGAAACCACGUUCUUCAACUCAUCUUACAAAGGGAAAACUCCAGCUACAAGAUGCUAAUGGAGACUUGCAGCCCACCUUGAAGUAUAAAGAUCCAGUGACUGAUGGAGUUCAUCUGCUGUCACUAAUUUUCUUGGUCAGAGAUUAUAGUCCCAACCCAGCAUGCCAUCUAGCAAAUGUCUAUACUUGGAUAUGGAAGACAAAAGGAGAAUCCAAAGGCAGAAGACAAAAAAAAAAAAAAAAAAAAAAAAAAAAACACCUCGUGAAUGUAAUGAAUCAAUACAAAUCCAUCACUGCUAUUGGAAAAGAUGUCACGAAAUGAUUGUCACAACAAUAACUUCCAUUUAUCUCUUUCUCCUUACACCCUUUUGUGUAUGGCUCAAGCCGCUGUUUGUACAACCUGGAUAUAGAGAUAUCAUUUUGCAAGAAUUCUGCACCGUGGAUAAUUGAACAAGCAUUCACAGACCCUUUAUAAUAGUACUUUAUUUUACACUCCUCACAAAUUCUUUUUUUCAUCUUUGCUAUCAGUUUGCUAUCGUUAAUUAUUUUCUUUUUAAAUUUAUUUAUUUUUAUUUUGUCAAAUUAAAACUACAUAUUUAUCACAUACAAGAUGUCCUGAAAUGUGUAUAUAGUGUGCAGAUUAUCAGAUGCAUGACUUCACAUACUUUUCAUUUUUGUGUGCUGAGGACAUUCAGAGUCCACUUUCUUAGAAUCUUCAAGAACACAACACAUUGCUGUUAACCACAGUCACCAAGUUGUAUAAUAGCCUUCUUUAAUUUAUUCAAAGAAAUGUGUGCUAAUUGUUCACUCUCUCCCCAAGCUUUCAUCUCACCCACCCUGACAAGCCCUGGUAGCCACUUCCAUAGGUUCAACUUUUCAGAUAAUACAAAUAUAUGAGAUCAUGAGGUAUUUGUCUUCAUGUGCCUGGCUUAUUUCACUUAACAUAAUGUUCUCUAGGUUUACCCAUGUUGUCACAGAAGACAGGAUUUCCUUUUCUAUAAAGGCUGAAGAGUAUUCUAUUGUGAAUAUUUUCCACAUUUCCAUUGUCCAUCCAUCAGUUGGUAGAUACUUAGCUUGUUUCCAUUUUUUGCUAUUGUGAAUGGUGUUGCAAUAAACAUGGAGAACAAUCAUCUCUUC
rnacentral:lncRNA from 1 species